CCUGACAGUUGUGCAGAAAACCAUCAUUGACACCCUCCAUGAGAAGGGAAAGCCUCAAAAGGUAAUUGCGAAGAAAGUUGGAUGUUCCCAAAGUGCUGUAUCAAAGCACAUUAAUAGAAAGUUAUGUGGAAGGGAAAAGUGUGGAAGAAAAAGGUGCACAAGCAGCAGGGAUGACUGCAGCCUGGAGAGGAUUGUCAGGAAAAGGCCAUUCAAAAGUGUUGGGGACUUUCACAAG